rnacentral:rRNA from 1 species
GCGGAGGGGGCGAGCGUUAAUCGGAAUCACUGGGCGUAAAGCGCACGUAGGCGGUGUCGUAAGUAGGAUGUGAAAGCACUCGGCUCAACCGGGGAACUGCAUUCGAUACUGCGUUGCUUGAGUGCCGGAGAGGGUGGCGGAAUUCCAGGUGUAGGAGUGAAAGCCGUAGAUACCUGGAGGAACACCAGAGGCGAAGGCGGCCCCCUGGCCGUCACCUGACGCUGAGGUGCGAAAGCGUUGGGAUCAAACAG